rnacentral:rRNA from 1 species
CCUACGGGGCGCUGCAGUGGGGAAUAUUGGACAAUGGGCGAAAGCCUGAUCCAGCCAUGCCGCGUGUGUGAAGAAGGCCUUCGGGUUGUAAAGCACUUUCAGUGGGGAAGAAAGCCUUGGGGCUAAUACCCUCGAGGAAGGACAUCACCCACAGAAGAAGCACCGGCUAACUCCGUGCCAGCAGCCGCGGUAAUACGGAGGGUGCGAGCGUUAAUCGGAAUUACUGGGCGUAAAGCGCGCGUAGGCGGUCUGAUAAGCCGGUUGUGAAAGCCCCGGGCUCAACCUGGGAACGGCAUCCGGAACUGUCAGGCUAGAGUGCAGGAGAGGAAGGUAGAAUUCCCGGUGUAGCGGUGAAAUGCGUAGAGAUCGGGAGGAAUACCAGUGGCGAAGGCGGCCUUAUGGACUGACACUGACGCUGAGGUGCGAAAGCGUGGGUAGCAAACAGGAUUAGAUACCCGGGUAGUC